rnacentral:misc_RNA from 1 species
CUAGUUUUUACUUUUUACCAGUAACUAUUUCAAGCCUACACAAAUCAUUAUACAUAUAGGUAGACUCUAUUCACUAAAUUGUCACUAUUAUACUAGUCAAAAAUCCUAAUAAAUAAAUAAAAUGAAACAUUUCCACAAGUAAAACCGCAGAAUUAAAGUAGAUUAUCUCAGGAAUAGCAUCGUAAGUUCAAAGUGGAACGCAAUAGCGCGUACACGGUAAGUCAACUCGUUUCAAAUUAGUCAUUGAGUGAUAUCGCAAGCAGACAUGCGUUCCUUAAUCCUACUUUUCACCGUUUUCUUGAUGUCGCUAUUGGUCUGUACGACCGCGAUCAACCCCAAACGAGUGCUCAUCAACCGUCCAACUGAGCGCUAUCUAUUCAAAAGAUCGGCGCAACUGAAAGGAGCAAAACCCGAUGUCAAAGGCAACCAUCACGUACCAUCCUUAAAUCUUAGGAAGGGAGAGUAUAUAUGCGGCAACAAGGUAUGCAAACUACAACCAGGAGUAGUUCCUAAGAAUUGCAACGGAGUCUGCCAGUAUCCAGUAUAGACUGAACUGAAUUAAAAAAUAUGACGAAGAAAAAAUAUUAUACACCUAAAUAUUUUUUAUAUUAGUUAAAAAAGGUAAAAAAUUAUGUUUUUAAUUUAUUUAAAAUAAAUAUAUAAUAAUAGUCGACAUAAUUACAAAAACGUGUAUGUCAAUAGGAAAUUGUGUCUUUGGCUUCUAAGUAAAAGUUAAUUAUUUUCGUAAAUAAAUUAAAAUUUAUAAUAAUAUGAGUAUUUAUUACUGUACUGUGUGGCUACGGUACUAAAGAAUAUAGCCACCCCCUCUCUUCCCGUGGGUGUCGUAAGAGGAGACUAAGGGAUAACACAGUUCCGCUACCACCUUAGAACUUAAAAAGCCGACCGAUGGCGGGAUAACCAAUAACCAGGCCGAAGACGGGCAGCAGCGUCUUCGGUGCGACAAAGCCAGCCCUGCGGUCGCCAACCCGCCUGCCCAGCGUGGUGACUAUGGGCAACACACAUGAGUUCACGUUAUUUUUGGCGUAAACUUUUGGAGGCCUAUGGUCCAGCAGUGGACUGUAUAGGCUGUAAU